AUUGAACGCUGGCGGCAGGCCUAACACAUGCAAGUCGAGCGGAGCGGCGGACGGGUGAGUAAUGCCUAGGAAUCUGCCUGGUAGUGGGGGAUAACGUCCGGAAACGGGCGCUAAUACCGCAUACUAUCAGAUGAGCCUAGGUCGGAUUAGCUAGUUGGUUGGGUAAAGGCCUACCAAGGCGACGAUCCGUAACUGGUCUGAGAGGAUGAUCAGUCACACUGGAACUGAGACACGGGUCCGACUCCCACGGGAGGCCGCAGUGGGGAACAUUGGACCAGGUGCGUAAGCCCGAUCCAGCCCUGCCGGGUUGGUGAAGAAGGUCUUCGGAUUGUAAAGUACUUUAAGUUGGGAGGCGUUACCAACAGAAUAAGCACCGGCUAACUUCGUGCCAGCAGCCGCGGUAAUAC
rnacentral:rRNA from 1 species